UGUAGUGUAGUUGUUCCCUGUACCUCAGGAGGUUUUUCAGGAGUGCCUCAGAGCUUUAUAUUGCAGCAGUUUUAUCACUGAAGUGUUACAUUCAGUGUAGGUAUGUGUCUGCGUACGUAAUGAAAAAGAGAUGGAGGAAGAAUGUAAAAUGGAUUUUAGUGUGCCUUUGUGAAAAAAAAAAAAAACAUUAAGUUUAUGCAACUGAAAAACAGUGUUUUACAGAGAAUAUUAUUUUCCAUGAUUCAUAGAUGGUCUAUAGUUCUGUCUAUCAAAUGACCAAGAAAAUACUGGUUUCCAACUUACUGUUUAUCUUUCUUUGAGAAUCAAGAGGUUUUUUCAUAAACCUGAGAGAAAUUUAGGUGAGGUUAUGCAUGUUCAGCUCAAUUCAAAGGUAAAUUCAGUUUCACUAGAUAUUUCCCAUAAAAAGAUUCUGAACAAAUUUAAUCUAUCUUUAAGGGAUCACACCUGCUAAAAAUGAGUAAAAUAAAAUUUAUAGUAAGCUAUGUGCGUGUUAUGUUCUCUCACUUUUUGUCAUCACUCUAGGUUUUAUCCUCUUUCUAUCUUGUUUGGCAGAAUUAUAGUGUGAGGAUAUGCUUUUAUGAAACAUUUUUAUAUAACUGUGAGUAUUGAUUGAAAUAGGGUCUUACUUUUUGUCAAAGGAUAUUUCAAAAUCCCUUAUGCAAGGCAAGAGGCAGUGAAGAAAGCUUUAUUGGCAUGUUAACUGAUUUGGAAGAUUGAGGGAGAUCAUCAAGGUACAUGGAGCUGUAAGAAUUGUUGAAUCAAUGUUACAGUAUUUUGUUGUUCACAGAUAUAAGCUGAGUCACUCAAGCCUGACAGAAAAAGCUCCUGGCAAAGCUGGAUGUCGGAUACUUCAUCAAGUCUCAUGGGUUCUGGGAAAUAAAAAUAGAUCAGUGAAAUAAGGGCCAAGUCCCAGUUUUGAAAAACUAUACAUAGGAAUUAGUAUGGUAGAAAAAGUAACAAUACUUGAUUAGAAAGUCUUCCUGCUUUUAGAUUAAUUUCUGGGCAGGAUUUUUGAGAUCAGAAUGAUGAUUAAGCUUAUAAAUGCUUAAACAAGUUGUUCUUAACCUUACUGCCUAUGAGUAUCACUUCUUAAUAGUUAGCUGGUUAUAAACAGUUCCAUUCCCAUUCACUAGCAAAUGAAUUGGCUGUCCUUCCUAUUUGGUAUCAUAGACCUUCCUGACUUCUCAUUCACUGCCAGGAAGCUACCCUUUCUUCCCAUUGUUGCUUGUUCAGUCUUCUGCACAUGAUUAUUCAGACUGGUUACAUAUGGAAUCAUGAACCCACUCCCUUGUCAUUUGCUUUUACAGGGACCACCUCUGCCUCCCUUUAGUAUUUCAUGAAAUCCUUGUUAGAGCUAACAUAACUGCUAACAUGAAAACGAGUCAGAGAUGCAAGUUUAAUGUAUUUAUAGCUUGAAAUGAGUAGAGAUCAUCAUGUUCCUGAGCAGAAAUUCUGAAUAUUGUGAACAUGGAUGGCAGAACUGAGAUGACAGGAUCUCCCAUGCUGUUGUUGUCGUAUUUUAGUUGAACUCAAGUGUGAAAUAAUAUUACUGUGGUUACUGCCAUAUUUAUUUAUCCUGGUUAUUUUUAAUGUGUUUUAAUUUUCAAGAGCUUGUUUAGCUUCUCAGUGUAUAUCAUUAUUCUUCUAUAGCACAGCUGGACUUCAAUUGUAAAUUAAAAUUAAGUGUUUGUAUGUUUACAAGUAAAUAAUCAUCUUUCCUACCACAAGAGAGCAUUAUAAUCUUUAGAGAGAGUAAGGCAGAGGGAACCCAGAAAAAUCUAAAAGUUAUGGCAGAUUUUUCUGCGUAAAAUAUAAAAAUAUGUUCUUUCCUUCAACGGGCGGUUUUUGCAUGUUUUAACUACUAAGUAACUACUAAACUGAAGUCCUUCAGCUUCAUUUCGGUCAGUGUUUUAUAGCAACUGAUGUGUGGCUUGACAGUUUUUUAGAUUUGACAGCCAGUAUUUUUCUAUAAUAGUUUUAAUCAUUUCUUUAAAACUGCUUAGCUCAUCUUUACUGGAUUUUUGAGCCCCUUACAGUAGACGUUGUCUAAAUGUGGAGCUGGAAGGUGGGAACAUCAUCAGGCACAAUGAUGUAACUCAGAAAUGCUACGAGGAGGAACAGAAGUAAUGUGGAGGCUUCUGUGAAGGGCUCUGAUGUGCAGCUAUGCUGAUGAUGUCUGCCUAGGACUGGGAAAGGACAAAAUGGUAUUCCCUAGGAAGCCUGCAGCUGAGGAAACCCAAAUUUGUCCAACAGCUUGGCUGCACAAUUUAGGACCGUAUCUUGCAAACAAAAACAGACUACAUCUGAUGACAAGUAAACCUUGCUAACUGCAUGUAAUGGAAAUCUGAGGAGCCUCAUCACCAGAUACUUCAGUCUGUUUAUCUGUUUCUCUUGUACUGAAUUACUUGCUAAUAUAGAGAUACCUGGGGGGGACAAUUCAGAUCCCCUUAGGCUAAGAUCAUAGCUGCAGCUGCUGACCUAACCUGGAGAUAAAAAAUAAUAAUAAAAAAUGUUCAUGUUUUUCCCCUAGGAUUCUGGACUACGUGUACAACUUUUAUUUCACUGAUGAAUUGUGUACUACUUUUAUAUUCAGAUAUGUGUAUUCAAGACAUAAAUUCAUUUCUUAUCUAGCAUACUGUAUCAUUCAUGUCAUCUUUUGCAGAGAUACUUGAAGCUUUGCAAUAGGUGCCCACAUACUGGAAAUUGGUAAAUGAAAGAAAAAAUAAACGCUUCUGUAAGGUAGCAGAGAGAGAAAUUUAACAGAACGCUACAUGCAGCUCUUGACAUUAAUAUUAUAAAAGUGGUAAAUAAAAUAAAAUUCUUAAUUUGGGGGCCGGGGGAGAAAAACAUAGACGAAAACUCCUAGUUAGAGAAAACUGAAUAUUAAAAAUGCAAAAGAAAAAAAAAUCCAGGUUGGUUGAUUGAAGUCAAAAUUGUUGUAAAAAAAGAGUUGAAAAUAUAUAAUGAAAUGACAUCAUGUAAGAAAAGAAAAAUAGUCUGAUUAGGGUGACCUAAUAACAAAAUUUUUGAAAACAGAAGCUGAAGCUUCCAUCACGUGUGGAAUAUGUUUCUCUAGUAGCCAUAGUUCAUAGAAUCAUAGUUGCCAUGCCCACAAACACAAACGUGCUUCCAAAGAAAAUUAAUGCAAAGAGGGAAUUUACUUUGUUCUGACACCAAGACAGUUCUUAUGCUCCACUUCUCCAUGUGUGACUCCCCCAUGCACAUGAACUUGUUACAAUGCAAAAGAAAUCAGCAAAGCUAAGCCAUGUAAAAGAAAGGAAGUUUUGCUACCAGUAAGAACUGGUAGGAAAUUACUGCUUCGUUUGAUGAGAGGAGCUGUAGAUAUGAGAAAGUUGUGUCUCAGAAAUUUUCACAAUUUGCAUUGUAAACACAAUAACUCAUAAGCAGAGAAAAAUUGAAGGCAAGUAGAACCCUGUAAGAGCUGUACCUGAGGCAUUUAUUGAGUAGUGUGGCAGAAAUUAAAAAAAAAA